AGUGAACGCUGGCGGUAGGCCUAACACAUGCAAGUCGAACGGCAGCACAGUAAGAGCUUGCUCUUACGGGUGGCGAGUGGCGGACGGGUGAGGAAUACAUCGGAAUCUACUUUUUCGUGGGGGAUAACGUAGGGAAGCUUACGCUAAUACCGCAUACGACCUACGGGUGAAAGCAGGGGAUCUUCGGACCUUGCGCGAUUGAAUGCGCCGAUGUCGGAUUAGCUAGUUGGCGGGGUAAAGGCCCACCAAGGCGACGAUCCGUAGCUGGUCUGAGAGGAUGAUAGGCCACACUGGAACUGAGACACGGUCCAGACUCCUACGGGAGGCAGCAGUGGGGAAUAUUGGACAAUGGGCGCAAGCCUGGUCCAGCCAUACCGCGUGUGUGAAGAAGGCCUUCGGGUUGUAAAGCCCUUUUGUUGGGAAAGAAAAGCAGCAGGUUAAUACCCCGCUGUUCUGACGGUACCCAAAGAAUAAGCACCGGCUAACUUCGUG
rnacentral:rRNA from 1 species